rfam:Capsicum annuum cultivar Zunla-1 chromosome 1, whole genome shotgun sequence
UGAUGAUGGUGUGGGCAAUUACUGAGCAUAGCCUUGAAUCUUUCCUAAGCUUGGUAAAUAUUCUCUCUAUCUUUUUUCUUGAGACAUACAAUCUCAGUUCUCAAAUG